UGAGAGUGUUUAUAGUGCUGUGAGUUUAACACUUCAUGACUGAGAGCAGAACAGAACACAAUCUCCAUCAUCACACAAGACAAAAGAACAACAAUGAACACAAUCACCUUCUUCAUCUGGACUCUCACACUAUUUGCUCAAGAGUGCUCAUCCCUGUAAAACUUUACACUACAAUAUUAUCUGUAUUAUUCACUGGGAAAGUCAAUCCCUUUAAUUGCACUUCCAUACUUCACCACUAGAGGGUCACAUGUCUUUAACAUAAAUGGAUUUUACACACCUUUCCUUUAAGACUGUGGCUGCAUCCAAAAUCACAUACUUAGUAGGCCAAAAAGUAUGUGACAAAAGAAGUGUGUCUGAAUUCACAGUAUUUAUAAAAGAACAGGCCAAAAGUACUGAGAUGACCUGCUACUUCUGAUGGACACUUUACUAUCCCAUGAGGCCACAGGAGAGGAUUUGUGAAAGUGAAGCGACCCAACUGAUGCUGACCACACUCACCCUCAUUCAUUCAUACAAACACAACUGCUCACAGACGUGACCUGUUUUCUGAAUCCAGCGUAUCAUUAAUAGUUUUGUGGAUUGAACUCUUGGAGCUCUUACUCUCUAACCGAGUCAAGGACGAUCUCAGCAGUCCAGAGGCUUCAGACACUGACAGUGUUUCAUUAUAAACUGAUGAACAUGAACAAACCUCAUCUCUCCAUUAGUCCAACUCUUCUGACUCAUUUCAGAGAAUAAAGUGUGGACUAACAUUAGUCAGAAUGUAAAGUAACUCUUCAGUGACUCUAGUGUAUAUGAGUUUGUCUGUUGUAAAUCCUGCCCACUUCUUUGCAUUGUCACACAUGCUUCAGUGCUCUGAGAGUGUUUAUAGUGCUGUGAGUUUAACACUUCAUGACUGAGAGCAGAACAGAACACAAUCUUCAUCAUCACACAAGACAAAAGAACAACAAUGAACACAAUCACCUUCUUCAUCUGGACUCUCACUCUGAUCGCUCAAGAGUGUAGAGGACAGUACACUGUAACUCAGAGUCCAUCAAUAACAGCAGCUCAACCAGGACAAGAAGUCAGAAUAAACUGUAAAACCAGCAGUAGAGUGUAUAAUGGUGAUGAGUUACACUGGUACUUACAGAAACCUGGAGAAGCUCCUAAACUCCUCAUAUAUACAGCAACAAGCCGUUAUACUGGAACUCCAUCUAGAUUCAGUGGCAGUGGAUCUGGCAGUGAUUUCACUCUGACCAUCAGUGGAGUCCAGACUGAAGAUACAGGAGAUUAUUACUGUCAGAGUUUACACUGGCCGGGCAGCACUAGGGUGUUCACACAGUGAUAAAGAGUGGUACAAAAACCUCGGUCAGUCAGACGUCACAGUGAUGCACUGAUACAGCUGAGAGAUACUGCAGCUGCUGAUGGAGGAUCACAAACAACACAAUGGUGUAUCAAACCUUUCAGAGACUUUAUUUAUUAUGAUGUAUUUAGUAAACAUGUAACAUACAAUCUUAUAUCACUUACUAAACUGGACUAAAAUCUGGUGAAAAUACCACACUCACCCUCAUUCAUUCAUACAAACACAACUGCUCACAGACGUGACCUGUUUUCUGAAUCCAGCGUAUCAUUAAUAGUUUUGUGGAUUGAACUCUUGGAGCUCUUACUCUCUAACCGAGUCAAGGACGAUCUCAGCAGUCCAGAGGCUUCAGACACUGACAGUGUUUCAUUAUAAACUGAUGAACAUGAACAAACCUCAUCUCUCCAUUAGUCCAACUCUUCUGACUCAUUUCAGAGAAUAAAGUGUGGACAGUGAAACUCAUAUUUGAUCAUCAGGUGAUUCUGUUCCUCUCAGAAUAGAGCAGCUCCAUCAGCAGAUGUUCAGCGUCCUCACAGGAGCUUCAUGUUACUGGAAUCCACUGCUUCUCUUGUUUCUGGAGAUACACUGGGAAAGUUCAGAUAACACCUUGUUAUUACUAAAAGGAACAAUAAAUAAAUAAACCCAUUUCACAUUUUAAAAAGUCUAAUGUUGAAGAAACAGUCGUGUCUGACUCAGAUAAUUACUGGAGAUCAGGUUAUAAAUGGAGAUGAAGCAGUCGCAGGUUUAGUGUUUGUUAACAGCGGGGUUUGUCGCCCACAUUACAGUAAGGAUGUGUUUGUUUCUGCUAGAUGCAGUUGUUUUUUACCACAAUAAAGGACAAUGAAAUGUU